rnacentral:lncRNA from 1 species
UUCUCUCCCUUAAAGGAGUAAACGGCAUGCAGGCCAGACCUCGGCUGCCUCUGAAUUGUCGUAGCAUACGGAGUACUUUUAGUACACUGUCCUCGAAAAGUCACUCGAGGGUUAGAGAUUUUGCUUUGCUCUCCUGGUAAUCUCUGCCUCCCUCUGCAGAUGAGUCUUUCAACAUUGGGCUAAAGUUUGAAAUCGCAUUUGAAGUCCGUCCCCGGAGCAGUUCCGGGACCCUUGUCCAUGGCCACAGUGUCAACGGGGAAUACCUGAACGUACACAUGAAAAGCGGACAGGUCAUAGUGAAAGUCAACAAUGGCGUCAGAGACUUUUCUACCUCAGUCACCCCCAAGCAGAAUCUCUGCGAUGGCAGAUGGCACAGAAUUACAGUUAUUAGAGACUCCAACGUGGUUCAGUUGGAUGUAGAUUCAGAGGUGAACCAUGUAGUUGGACCCCUGAACCCAAAGCCGGUUGAUCACAGGGAGCCUGUGUUUGUC